GUAGGUGGCAAGCGUUGUCCGGAAUUAUUGGGCGUAAAGCGCGCGCAGGCGGUUCGUUUAAGUCUGAUGUGAAAGCCCACGGGCUCAACCGUGGAGGGUCAUUGGAAACUGGAGAACUUGAGUACAGAAGAGGAAAGCGGAAUUCCACGUGUAGCGGUGAAAUGCGUAGAGAUGUGGAGGAACACCAGUGGCGAAGGCGGCUUUCUGGUCUGUAACUGACGCUGAGGCGCGAAAGCGUGGGGAGCAAACAGGAUUAGAUACCCUGGUAGUCCACGCCGUAAACGAUGAGUGCUAAGUGUUACGGGGGGUUUCCGCCCCUUAGUGCUGCAGCUAACGCAUUAAGCACUCCGCCUGGGGAGUACGGCCGCAAGGCUG
rnacentral:rRNA from 1 species